GCAACUCGCCUACAUGAAGUCGGAGUUGCAAGUAAUCGCGGAUCAGAAUGCCGCGGUGAAUGCGUUCCCGGGUCUUGUACACACCGCCCGUCACACCAUGGAAGUUGGGGGCGCCCGAAGUUGCCUAAGAAAUAGGGUACCUAAGGCGAAACCAAUGACUGGGGUGAAGUCGUAACAAGGUAAC
rnacentral:rRNA from 1 species